rnacentral:sRNA from 24 species
ACACAGGGAAGGAGGUGGUCCGGAAAUUGAUUGAUCCAUGGACUUGUGAGGUGACUGCGCGCUAGCAGCUGCGCAUGCGAGGAAUCACCUGCGCGCGCCGGCGAAUUCCCCGCAGUCACCCGGCCCCCGAGCCCCUUGGUCCGUCCAACCAGGGAACCAACGGCUCGGGGGCCGCUCCAU